rnacentral:rRNA from 1 species
CCUACGGGAGGCAGCAGUGGGGGAUAUUGCACAAUGGGGGAAACCCUGAUGCAGCAACGCCGCGUGGGUGAUGAAGUUCUUCGGCUUGUAAACCCCUAUCGGCAGAGAAGAUUCUGACGGUUUCUAACCAAUAAACACCCGCCAACUCCGUGCCCGCAGCCGCGGUAAUACGGAGGGUGCAAGCGUUACUCGGAAUUACUGGGCGUAAAGGGUGCGUAGGCGGGCUAACAAGUCAGAUGUGAAAUCCCGGAGCUUAACUACCGAACUGCACUUGAAACUGUUAGGCUGGAGUGUGGGAGGGGUAGGUGGAAUUCUUGGUGUAGCGGUAAAAUCCGUAGAGAUCAAGAGGAAUAC